AUUAUGAAAAGCAAAAAAUUAUGGCGGUAUUUUAAGCUUUUCAGAGGAAUUUGCUCUUUAAUGGAUAAAACACCAAAAUCUUACUUAAAUUUGUUACUUCAAUUUGUAUACCACUAUAAAAACAAUUUAUAACUUUAAUUGUUUAAAUUUAUUAAAUUAAAAUAUAUUAAGUCAAGGUGCAGUAAAAAUUUAAGAAUGAAGUGAAUUACAUUACUUUUUAGUGAAAAAAAAAAUUAUAAUAACACUUAGGAUUUGAAAGUAAAUUUGAAAUAGG
rnacentral:rRNA from 1 species